UCUGGCUGCUAUGGCCCCCUCC
rnacentral:miRNA from 1 species